rnacentral:rRNA from 1 species
GAUGAACGCUAGCGGCAGGCCUAACACAUGCAAGUCGAGGGGUAGGGUUAGCUUGCUAACUUGAGACCGGCGCACGGGUGCGUAACGCGUAUGCAAUCUACCUUGUACAGAGGGAUAGCCCAGAGAAAUUUGGAUUAAUACCUCAUAGUAUCUUUACCUGGCAUCGGGUAAUUAUUAAAGUUCCAACGGUACAAGAUGAGCAUGCGUCCCAUUAGUUAGUUGGUAAGGUAACGGCUUACCAAGACAAUGAUGGGUAGGGGUCCUGAGAGGGAGAUCCCCCANACUGGUACUGAGACACGGACCAGACUCCUACGGGAGGCAGCAGUGAGGAAUAUUGGUCAAUGGACGCAAGUCUGAACCAGCCAUGCCGCGUGCAGGAAGACAGUCCUAUGGAUUGUAAACUGCUUUUAUACAGGAAGAAACAACUCUACGUGUAGAGUCUUGACGGUACUGUAGGAAUAAGGAUCGGCUAACUCCGUGCCAGCAGCCG